AUUGAACGCUGGCGGCAUGCUUUACACAUGCAAGCCGAACGGUAACAGGCCGCAAGGUGCUGACGAGUGGCGAACGGGUGAGUAAUGCAUCGGAACGUGCCCAGUCGUGGGGGAUAACGCAGCGAAAGCUGCGCUAAUACCGCAUACGAUCUCUGGAUGAAAGCGGGGGACCGAAAGGCCUCGCGCGAUUGGAGCGGCCGAUGUCAGAUUAGGUAGUUGGUGGGGUAAAGGCCCACCAAGCCAACGAUCUGUAGCUGGUCUGAGAGGACGACCAGCCACACUGGGACUGAGACACGGCCCAGACUCCUACGGGAGGCAGCAGUGGGGAAUUGUGGACAAUGGGCGCAAGCCUGAUCCAGCAAUGCCGCGUGCAGGAAGAAGGCCUUCGGGUUGUAAACUGCUUUUGUACGGAACGAAACGGUCCGGGCUAAUACCCUGGGCUAAUGACGGUACCGUAAGAAUAAGCACCGGCUAACUACGUGCCAGCCGCCGCAGUAA
rnacentral:rRNA from 1 species